rnacentral:sRNA from 1 species
CCCUUUGAAGGCAAGGACUAUGUCCUAUUCCACCUUGAAUUCUCAUCACCAAGCGGAACGCCUGACACCUAAUCUAGUCAGUGCUUACUAAGUGCUCAUUAUCAAUGCAAGAAUAACAGAGCUAUGGAACCUGGCAGACACCUCAUUUCUCUGGGCCUCAGUCUUCUCAUGCAGAACUUGGGAUUGGACUAAAUUGGAUCUCCUAGGCUGCCUCUGACUCUAACGAUUCUCUGAUUUAAAUUAUUCUUCAUCUGGAUGUAAUCCACCUUGCUUUUCCAUCCCAGGCUCUGUUCUCACUCAUGGCUGAUGGGCAAAGGCGACUAAAGAAGCACAGCUCCGUGAGGAUGUCCUUACAACAUUGCAACCCCCAAGGAAAAAGAGGUUGUUUUCCCAAUAUCUACUGUAAAACCUAAGAGGAAAAUUUCGCGUUGCUGCAGCUUGGAUCAUGCAUUUAUCAUUUGGACCACCUCUGAGGACAGGGAGUUGCAGUCUGUGAGC